rfam:Joostella marina DSM 19592 genomic scaffold Joomascaffold_1, whole genome shotgun sequence.
AUUAAUAAUAGGGGUCGAGAACCCCGCUAAUUAAU